GACGAACGCUGGCGGCGUGCCUAAUACAUGCAAGUCGAGCGAAUCAGUGGGAGCUUGCUCCCUGAGAUUAGCGGCGGACGGGUGAGUAACACGUGGGUAACCUGCCUGUAAGACUGGGAUAACUUCGGGAAACCGGAGCUAAUACCGGAUACGUUCUUUUCUCGCAUGGGGAGAGAUGGAAAGAUGGUUCUGCUAUCACUUACAGAUGGACCCGCGGCGCAUUAGCUAGGUGGUGAGGUAACGGCUCACCAAGGCGACGAUGCGUAGCCGAGCUGAGAGGGUGAUCGGCCACACUGGGACUGAGACACGGCCCAGACUCCUACGGGAGGCAGCAGUAGGGAAUCUUCCGCAAUGGACGAAAGUCUGACGGAGCAACGCCGCGUGAGCGAAGAAGGCCUUCGGGUCGUAAAGCUCUGUUGUUAGGGAAGAACAAGUACGAGAGUAACUGCUCGUACCUUGACGGUACCUAACCAGAAAGCCACGGCUAACUACGUGCCAGCCGCCGCGGUAA
rnacentral:rRNA from 1 species